CUUAAUAUAUCCAUAUCUUAAGUAGAUGAAGUGAUAUGUGGUUUUGAUUGCCCUUUCCUCCUUUGGGACUUUUCAGUGAUGAAACCAGCUUUCCUGCAGUGGGAAGUUAGGGAACCCCCAAAAUAUAACCCAAGACUGGCAGCAGCGUAUGGUGAAUAUGAACCUGUUACAGGCUCUGUUCCUUGGCAAAGGAUAUAUUUUAUUCAGAUUUUAAAGAUUAGGAUUCUUUUGAACACUUGAGCAGAAAGUGUGACCAGUUCCACCUGAGCAGUACCUGGGUCAUCCUCCACAUUAGAUGUGCACAUAUAUGUUUGUAAGUAGACACAGAAUUGAUGCUAAGCUCAGCCAUGUAUUGGCAACAUAAACUCAUUAAA
rnacentral:lncRNA from 1 species